AAAGGGGGAGCUGUUUACGAGAUAGAACACACGAGCUGGUGCUAGAAGAUGCAAGAAAUAAUGCUUGAGAAAUAAGUUCUUCCCCCCUAUUUGAUGUCAACCAGUUUGUUCCCUUUGAUUUGUGGAAAGUUAUCAAAUGUGUAGAAGGAAACCCCCCUAGCUUACUCGGACGUUCUCCAGUUACGUCGUUGGAGUAUCGUUGGAGUAAAUCUAGAAAGCAUCAUAAUUACAGAAAAAAGUUGACGUAAAUCUUUUGACAAUCUCUUUUUU
rnacentral:misc_RNA from 1 species